rnacentral:rRNA from 1 species
AAGCUCUGCCCUAUGAUUAAUUAAUUAAAUGGCUGCAGUAAUUUGACUGUGCAAAGGUAGCAUAAUAAUUAGUCUUUUAAUUGAAGACUUGUAUGAAUGAGUAUAUGAGAAAUUUAUUUUAUUUUUAUUAAAAAAUUAAUUUUAUUUAUAAGUAAAAAAGCUUAUUAUUUUUAUUUAGACGAGAAGACCCUAUAGAACUAUAAUUAAAAUUUUAAUAUUAAUUUAAUUAAAAGUAAUUUUAACUUUUUCUUUUUUGCUGGGGCAGUAACUAAAUAUAAAUUUUAUUUUUUCAUUUCAUUGAUUUAUGUUUUAUUUAUUUAUAAAUUAUAAUUAUAAGUUUAAGUUACCUUAGGGAUAACAGCGUUAUUUUUAUGGAGAGUUCAUAUCUAUAUAGAAGUUUGCGACCUCGAUGUUGAAUUAAAAAAAAUAUGUGGGGUAGAUUUUUCAUUGUUAAGUC